AUUGAACGCUGGCGGCAGGCCUAACACAUGCAAGUCGAGCGAGCGGCGGACGGGUGAGUAAUGUAUGGGAAACUGCCUGAUGGAGGGGGAUAAAUACUGGAAACGGUAGCUAAUACCGCAUACCAUCAGAUGAACCCAGAUGGGAUUAGCUUGUAGGUGGGGUAAAGGCUCACCUAGGCGACGAUCCCUAGCUGGUCUGAGAGGAUGACCAGCCACACUGGGACUGAGACACGGCCCAGACUCCUACGGGAGGCAGCAGUGGGGAAUAUUGCACAAUGGGCGCAAGCCUGAUGCAGCCAUGCCGCGUGUAUGAAGAAGGCCUUCGGGUUGUAAAGUACUUUCAGUCGGGAGGCGUUACCGGCAGAAGAAGCACCGGCUAACUCCGUGCCAGCAGCCGCGGUAAUUC
rnacentral:rRNA from 1 species